GCCAGUGGUACCUCUAGCAAUAAAAUGGGGCUGGGAUGAAAGAAGUAGAACUGACUCCUUUAAACAAAAAUUGCCCUGCAUUUUCUGGGAUUUUCCUUGAAACUGAGCAUAGCAGAUGUUAUGGUUUAUAUCUACAUGGCCCCCAAAGCCUCAUGCGGUCAUAAGCAGGGCUUAGGGGGAAGUGAUUGGAUCAUGGGGAUGCUAUAUUCAUCAGUAGAUUGAUUAAUCACCCAAUGAAUUUCUACCUAAAAGUACUGUGAGGAAGUGAGAAUCAGUUGGAAGAAGCGGCCCACUGAGGGCCUGACCCGGAAGGGUACACCUCCCUCCCUGGUUCUUCCCCGCUUGCUCUGCUUCCUGGUGGCCACGCCCCACCGCCACACUAUUUCUUCUUGGGAGCCAGCCAACCACGUACUGAAACCUGAGCUAAAAUAAACCUCUCCUCCUUUAAGUUUCAGGUAUCAAGAAUUUUGUCCCAGCAACGAAGAAAGUGACCCAGACGGCAGAUGUGAAUCAAGAAGAGGUACCCACUUUCCUUCUGCUUUUCCGUCUGACACGGAGCAGCAUGUGCUCCUCACCAGAAACCAAGGAGGUACUGGCACCAUGCAACUGAACCACCACAACUGUGAGCCAAAAUGAACCCUGGCCUUUACAAAUUGUCUGUCCUCAGUCAUUAUGUAAUAGCAACAGAAGAAGGAUGUAGAGGGACAGUUUACAACUUACGAUCUCAUUUGAGUUAAAAAGUGACCUGCAGAAGUGCCAUGAAACAACAAAAAGAUGGAAACAGAACCUACAAGGGAAGCUGGAAGAACCUGAGAAUGUGGCUUCCUCCUUACUUUGGUUUGAAUGUGGUCGCUCCAAAACUCAGGUGUUGCCAAUGUGAAAGGAUUUGAAUGUCUGGCCUUUGCGAGGUGACAGCCAUGAAAGCUCUGCUUUGGGGAAUGGGAUCAAAUGACUCUAUAAAGGGUCUGACAAAGGCAGUUUGUGCUACCCAACUACAUUCCGCAAUGUGAGGGUACAGCAUUCAAAGCAUCCUCUUGGGAGCAGAGACCAGACACUCAGCAGACAAUGAACCUCAAGCCCUUUCAUGGAAUAGUGAGAAAUAAGCUGCUAGAAUAGUGAGAAAUAAGAUUCUGUUCUUCAUAAAUUACUCAGUCUCUGGUAUUUCACUACAGUAGCACAAAACAGCCAAAGACUUUUGGCUCAGUCUAACAUUUAUUAAAGACCCACAGUUUAAGAAAAGACCCUGUGUUGGGUGCUAUACAGGACAUAAGAGGCUAUAUAUAAGUGUGGGUCUUACCCUUAAGGACUCCAGGGUUCUCACAGAGAAGGAUGUGCAUGU